rnacentral:lncRNA from 1 species
AAGUGCCUUCUCUCCUCCCGGGUCUGCGCGGACGCGGCCUCCUUACCUCAUUUGUCCUCGCCCCUCCCCGUCCCUCUACGCGUUUUGGUCCCUGUUUGGUGCUUUCUGUUUGCAGCUACGGCAGUGAAUCUGGGCAUAGGAACCAAUCAGAAACAAUCGCUUCAGCAAUCAAGACCAUUGUUCAUCAUGGAGGAACCCAUGGAUACCUCUGAGCCUCUAUCUGCAUUACCAUUCACUGGGCAGCAGUCUUUUGAGCCAAGUGGCAAAUUUGGACAGUAUCCAUCGAUGCAGAUGAACCACAUCCAGGCACUGGGGAAGUGGAGGACAUAGAACAGCUCAAUCAGUGUUUGAUCCAACACUUCCAUCUCAUUAAGACAAGUUUGAUUUUUCUUUGCUUUUUAUUUCAUGGAAUACAUGAGAAUCUCUUAACUGUUGGAGUUUCCAAGGAGGCAUACCUCAUGACUUCAGUUAAUGGAAAGAACAAAACUAAAAUGCUGUAUGGCCAAAGCCACAAAGGGAAGGAUCCACAAUUUACAUUCUUGGAGCUAUCAUCUGUACUGUACUGUUGUGAUCUACUGAUUGGCAUUGGCAUAGUAGUAGGGGUCAAGUGACAGAAUCCGUGCCAGCAGUCUCCAG